rnacentral:rRNA from 1 species
UACGGGGGGGGCAAGCGUUGUUCGGAAUUACUGGGUGUAAAGGGCUCGUAGGCGGCCAACUAAGUCGGACGUGAAAGCCCUCGGCUUAACCGAGGAACUGCGUCCGAUACUGGAUGGCUUGAGGUUGGGAGAGGGAUGCGGAAUUCCAGGUGUAGCGGUGAAAUGCGUAGAUAUCAGGAAGAACACCAAUGGCGAAGGCAGCUCUCUGGGACGGUACUGACGCUGAGACGCGAAAGCGUGGGGAGCGAACAGG